rnacentral:lncRNA from 1 species
UUCCUGAUUUCACAAUGAUGGUAGGGAGCCCUGUGGGCACUAGAAGCAGCGGGGAGGGGUUCUAGACCUUUGGUGCCCAAGAGACUUCCGUGCAUGGAAAAUGUUGACUUCUAGCUUCCAUCUGCAGCGAACUCUCCAUCGGGACAUGGGACCUGGCUGUACGAGUUAAUUCAAACUGAGCCACUUUCCAUUAGGGCACCAAAUGGAGUUAGCAAUCCAAGAUUAUUUUAUUUUCUGGGCUAUCCAGAUGACUUAAAGCCUCGCUGAAGUUCCCAUGAGAAGAGUUUAAACAACCCAAAGAAAGCACAUCAUGGUCGACUGCAGGGAACUGA